rnacentral:misc_RNA from 1 species
UCCGAGUUGACCCCGGCAGUCUCCUAUGAGUCCCCACCAUAACGUGCUGGCAACAUAGGACGAGGGUUGCGCUCGUUGCGGGACUUAACCCAGCAUCUCACGACACGAGCUGACGACAGCCAUGCACCACCUGUGAAGGUGUCCCGAAGGAAAGAUGUGUCUCCACACCGGUCACCUACAUGUCAAGCCCAGGUAAGGUUCUUCGCGUUGCGUCGAAUUAAACCACAUGCUCCGCUGCUUGUGCGGGCCCCCGUCAAUUCCUUUGAGUUUCAGUCUUGCGACCGUACUCCCCAGGCGGAAUGCUUAAAGCGUUAGCGACGGCACCCGGGGACUUUAUAACCCCAGACACCAAGCAUUCAUCGUUUAAGGCCAGGACUAC